rnacentral:rRNA from 1 species
UACGAGCUGUGCAAACGUUACUCGGAAUCAUUGGGCUUAAAGGGUGCGUAGGCGGCCUCGCAAGUCGGGUGUGAAAUGUCCUGGCUCAACCAGGGAAUUGCGCUCGAAACUGCGGGGCUCGAGGGAGAUAGAGGCAAGCGGAACUCAGGGUGGAGCGGUGAAAUGUGUUGAUAUCCUGGGGAAUACCGGUGGCGAAAGCGGCUUGCUGGGUCUCUUCUGACGCUGAGGCACGAAAGCCAGGGUAGCGAACGGG